ACCCUCUGGUCCCUUUGCCAUUGAAUCAGAUAGGACACCGUCUUGGUGGUCAUAAAAGGAGGGAAAGUAACACUGAAGUUGGCCUCACAGCUCUGUAGCAUGUGGGCUAGCUUUAAACAAGG